CCUACGGGAGGCAGCAGUGGGGAAUUUUGGACAAUGGGCGAAAGCCUGAUCCAGCCAUUCCGCGUGAGUGAAGAAGGCCUUCGGGUUGUAAAGCUCUUUCGCAAGGGAAGAAAACUUACAUUCUAAUAAAGUGUGAGGCUGACGGUACCUUGAUAAGAAGCACCGGCUAACUACGUGCCAGCAGCCGCGGUAAUACGUAGGGUGCGAGCGUUAAUCGGAAUUACUGGGCGUAAAGCGUGCGCAGGCGGUUUUGUAAGUCAGAUGUGAAAUCCCCGAGCUCAACUUGGGAACUGCGUUUGAAACUACAAGACUAGAAUAUGUCAGAGGGGGGUAGAAUUCCACGUGUAGCAGUGAAAUGCGUAGAGAUGUGGAGGAAUACCAAUGGCGAAGGCAGCCCCCUGGGAUAAUAUUGACGCUCAUGCACGAAGGCGUGGGGAGCAAACAGGAUUAGAUACCCUGGUAGUCCACGCCCUAAACGAUGUCUACUAGUUGUUGGUGGAGUAAAAUCCAUGAGUAACGCAGCUAACGCGUGAAGUAGACCGCCUUGGGGGAGGACGGUCGGUCGAGAAGUUAAACUAACGAAAGGAAAGUUAGACGGCGNGAGAGNGCCGACGGACGACGACGAGGGAGGAGG
rnacentral:rRNA from 1 species